CUCAAAUGCAGAUAUAAACGAGGAAUCCUGGAUUCUUGAAUGAUCCUGUGGAGCACAGCAGACCUCAGGGUGAAGAGUUCACUUAACUCAACACUGUUAAGUGAGAAUUAAGUAAACUUAUGCUGUGUUUGGCUAAGGAAUAAACCAGUGAGAUCCAGCUGAACUAUUCAAAUGACACUGAAGGACUGAAGAUUCUCAAGGAUGCAGGGUUUUGAAGAUGUUCACAAAUCAAUAUAAAGAAAUAGAGAUGAGAAGGCGGAACAAGAUGGCUGAAUAGAAGCCUCCAGCGAUUGUCCCUCCCACGAAACACCAAACAGAACAUCUAUCCACAGAAAAAA
rnacentral:lncRNA from 10 species